AAUGUUGGACAAUGGGGGCACCCCUGCUCCAGCCAUGCCGCGUGUGUGAAGAAGGUCUUCGGAAUGUAAAGCACUUUCAGUUGGGCGGAAGGGCAGUAAGUUAAUACCUUGCUGUAUUGACGUUACCGACAGAGUAAGCACCGGCUGACUUCGUGCCAGCAGCCGCGGUAAUCCGAAGGGUUCAACGGUUAAUCGGAAUUACUGGGCGUAAAGCGCGCGGAGGUGGGUCAGUAAGAUGAGUGGGAAAACCCCGGGGUUAACCUGGGAGCUUCUUUCAUAAAUGCUGAGCUAGAGUACGGUAGAGGGUAGUGGAAAUUCCUGUGUAGGGGUGAAAUGCGUAGAUAUAGGAAGGAACACCAGUGGCGAAGGCGACUACCUGGACUGAGACUGACACUGAGGUGCGAAAGCGUGGGGAGCAAAC
rnacentral:rRNA from 1 species